rnacentral:rRNA from 1 species
AUUGAACGCUGGCGGCAUGCUUUACACAUGCAAGUCGAACGGCAGCGCGGGCUUCGGCCUGGCGGCGAGUGGCGAACGGGUGAGUAAUACAUCGGAACGUGCCCAGUAGUGGGGGAUAGCUCGGCGAAAGCCGGAUUAAUACCGCAUACGACCUGAGGGUGAAAGCGGGGGAUCUUCGGACCUCGCGCUAUUGGAGCGGCCGAUGGCAGAUUAGCUAGUUGGUGGGGUAAAGGCCUACCAAGGCGACGAUCCGUAGCUGGUCUGAGAGGACGACCAGCCACACUGGAACUGAGACACGGCCCAGACUCCUACGGGAGGCAGCAGUGGGGAAUUUUGGACAAUGGGCGAAAGCCUGAUCCAGCAAUGCCGCGUGUGUGAUGAAGGCCUUCGGGUUGUAAAGCACUUUUGGCGGGAACGAAAAGGACUGUGCCAAUACCACGGUUCGAUGACGGUACCCGCAGAAUAAGCACCGGCUAACUACGUG